GGUGUUACCUGGGCCAGGUGGGGAAGGUUUGUUUGCAGAGCAAAGAAGUGAAGGAAGUAUUAACCCUUUGCAUGGCCUCCUGAGAAUCCGACAAGACGUAAAUAGCCAAGAAUAUCUGUGAAACUUCAUCACUGAGUUACAAUAUUUAUCACUGCAAGUGUGUUGUUCAUUGACACUAUAAAGCCAUGUGGAAUUAAGCAGCCUUGAAACACAAAAUGGAGAAAGGCUAAGAGCUGAGAAUUGUUGCCUUCAGGGAAAUACAAUCAAUGUCAAGCAAACAACCACCCCAAAAUGGUUAGCUUUAUCAGCAUUCAGGCCUACAGUGAACGCAAAUGUUCCAGAUCUGAGUUUCAAUUUUUAAAGAAUAAACAUAUGCAAAUGACCAUUAGUCUUAGUA
rnacentral:lncRNA from 1 species